rnacentral:rRNA from 1 species
GACGAACGCUGGCGGCGUGCUUAACACAUGCAAGUCGAACGGAAAGGCCCUGCUUUUGUGGGGUGCUCGAGUGGCGAACGGGUGAGUAACACGUGAGUAACCUGCCCUUGACUUUGUGAUAACUUCAGGAAACUGGGGCUAAUACCGGAUAGGAGCUCCUGCUGCAUGGUGGGGGUUGGAAAGUUUCGGCGGUUGGGGAUGGACUCGCGGCUUAUCAGCUUGUUGGUGGGGUAGUGGCUUACCAAGGCUUUGACGGGUAGCCGGCCUGAGAGGGUGAACGGCCACAUUGGGACUGAGGUACGGACCAGACUGCAACGGGAGGCAGCAGUGGGGAAUAUUGCACAAUGGGCGGAAGCGUGAUGAAGCAACGCCGCGUGCGUGAUGACGGCCUUCGGGUUGUAAACCGCUUUCGCCUGUGACGAAGCGUGAGUGACGGUAAUGGGUAAAGAAGCACCGGCUAACUACGUG